AUACGUAGGGUGCGAGCGUUGUCCGGAAUGAUUGGGCGUAAAGGGCGCGUAGGCGGCCCGGUAAGUCUGGAGUGAAAGUCCUGUUUUUAAGAUGGGAAUUGCUUUGGAUACUGUCGGGCUUGAGUGCAGGAGAGGUAAGUGGAAUUCCCAGUGUAGCGGUGAAAUGCGUAGAGAUUGGGAGGAACACCAGUGGCGAAGGCGACUUACUGGACUGUAACUGACGCUGAGGCGCGAAAGUGUGGGGAGCAAACAGGAUUAGAUACCCUGGUAGUCCACACUGUAAACGAUGAAUACUAGGUGUGGGGGGACUGACCCCCUCCGUGCCGCAGUUAACACAAUAAGUAUUCCACCUGGGGAGUACGGCCGCAAGGUUGAAACUCAAAUGAAUUGACGGGG
rnacentral:rRNA from 1 species